rnacentral:rRNA from 1 species
AUUGAACGCUGGCGGCAUGCCUUACACAUGCAAGACGAACGGUAACUGGUGUAGCAAUACAUUAGCAAGAGUGUCGUACGGGUGCGUAACACGUAUGCAACCUACCUUGUACAGGAGGAUAGCUCGGGGAAACUCGAAUUAACCCUCCAUGAGAUCACAGUGUGGCAUCACAUAGUGAUUAAAACUCAGGUGGUACAAGAUGGGCAUGCGCUGAUUAGUUAGUUGGCGGGGUAAUGG